ACGUAGGGGGCGAGCGUUAUUCGGAAUUACUGGGUGUAAAGGGUAUGUAGGCGGCCCUUCAAGUCGCGUGUCAAAGUCCAGUGCUCAACUCUGGGUGUGCACGGGAUACUGACGGGCUUGAGUGCUGGAGAGGUGAGUGGAAUUCCCGGUGUAGUGGUAAAAUCCGUAGAGAUCGGGAGGAACACCAGCGGCGAAGGCGGUCCACUAGAAAGUUACUGACGCUAAGAUACGAAAGCGUGGGGAGCAAACAG
rnacentral:rRNA from 1 species